UACAUUAAAACAGACUCCACCUUUGGUUUCCUUUCACCGUAACCUCUGUUCUCUUUCACCCUCAUGCCUUUCCACUACUGUCUCUACCUCUCUUCCCACAAUAAAUGUAUUUUCCACGCUUGAUGUAAACACUGCCACAGACACACUAAGCUCUACUUUAACAACCUGUCUAGACAACAUCUGUCCUAUCUCCUCUAGGCCAGCACAUCCUACACCACCCAGCCCCUGGCUGUCUGACGACCUUCGUGAACAUCGGACUGACCUCAGGGCAGCUGAGAGGAGAUGGCGGAAAUCUAAAGAUCCAGUAUAUCUAGAACAAGCUGCUGGAUGACAAUCAGUCAGGCUUCAAAAGUGGACACUCCACUGAGACUGUCCUGCUGUCUGUCACUGAGACAGGUGAAAGCUGAAUAGAGAUCAUCCGUCCUGAUUCUGCUGGACCUUUCUGCAGCCUUUGACACAGUCAACCAUCAGAUCUUACUCUCUACCCUCUCCUCGCUGGGCACCACAGGAACUGUGCUUGACUGGUUUAAUUCCUAUCUCUCAGCCCAACACCACCACAGUGACUGAUCGAAUUUCAGCCUGCCUGGCAGACAUCUCAGCCUGGAUGAAGGAACACCACCUGCAACUCAACCCAGCCAAGACUGAACUCCUUGUGUUUCCAGCCAACCCUGCUGUUGAACACAACAUCACUGUGCAGCUGGGUGCAACUAGAGUAACACCUUCCAAAACGGUCAGAAAUCUAGGGGUAACCAUCAACAACAGACUAAAUUUCAGACCACAUCUCAAAGACCGCAAAAUCAUGUAGAUUUACACUCUACAAUAUCAGGAAGAUAAGACCCUUCCUCUCUGAACAUGCCACACAACUGCUUGUCCAGUCACUUGUCAUAACUAGACUGGACUACUGUAACGCUCUCAUUGCAGGCCUCCCUGCAUGUGCAAUUAUACCCCUGUAAAUUAUCCAGAAUGCAGCAGCACGUCUGGUCUUUAAUGAACCAAAGAGAGAACGUUACACCACUCCUUGUCUCUCUCCACUGGCUGCCGGUUUAUGCACGUGUCAAAUUCAAGGCUCUGAUGCUGGCAUACAGAACAGUCACUGGGUCUGCUCCAGCAUACCUAAAAUAAUUUAUGCAGAGCUACGAGCCCACUAGAAGCCUGCGGUUGGCUAAGGAACGUCGCCUUGUUGUACCAACACAAAGAGGCACCGAAACACUUUCCCGGACAUUCAGCUUCAUCAUACCAUGAUGGUGGAAUGACCUUCCAACUCCAUCCGUGAAGCUGACUCAAGAUUUUCUGUCUUCAAAAAACGACUAAAAACAUCUUUUGCAUGAGCACUUAACCAGUCAUUAAUAUAUAUAUAUAUAUAAAAAAAAAAAAAAAAACUCUUUAAUCUGUUGCACUUUAAUCUGUUUUGAAUACUAUUCUGAUGCUAGUGAAACUUUGUAGUAUGGCACUUUUCAUACCAUUGUCUCCUUAAGAUGAUUCGCUUUUAUUUUCCUCUUUUGUAAGUCGCUUUGGAUAAAAGUGUCUGUCAAACGAAUAAAUGUAACUAUAUGAUUUCUUUUUCUCCGUAUGUGGCAACACCUUUAAAUUCACCAGGGCUUGUCUGAGCCUAAGAUGUUUCUAAUUGAACAAUCAACAAAAGAUGAGACUUAGAUAUAAAAAAAUAUCUAUUGUGGGCAGGUGGGCUUCUUAUGUACAUGUGAUUUAUUUAUUUUUUUUCGUUUUUUUAUUUUUAAUAAAUUUGCAAAGAUUUCAAACAAACUUCUUUCACGUCAUUAUGGGGA